rnacentral:rRNA from 1 species
UACGUAGGGAGCAAGCGUUGUCCGGAAUCAUUGGACGUAAAGCGCGCGUAGGCGGCCCUGUAAGUCCGCUGUGAAGGUCAAAGGCUCAACCUUUGAAAGCCGGUGGAUACUGCAGGGCUAGAGUCCGGAAGAGGCGAGUGGAAUUCCUGGUGUAGCGGUGGAAUGCGCAGAUAUCAGGAGGAACACCAAUAGCGAAGGCAGCUCGCUGGGACGGUACUGACGCUAAGGCGCGAAAGCGUGGGGAGCGAACAGG